rnacentral:rRNA from 1 species
AGUCGAACGGACUUAACCGAAAUAUUUAUAUUUUGGAGCGGUUAGUGGCGGACUGGUGAGUAACGCGUAAGCAAUCUGCCUAUUAGAGGGGAAUAACAGUGAGAAAUCACUGCUAAUACCGCAUAUGCCAUGAACAUCGCAUGAUGAAAAUGGGAAAGGAGUAAUCCGCUAAUAGAUGAGCUUGCGUCUGAUUAACUAGUUGGUGUGGUAAUGGCAUACCAAGGUAACGAUCAGUAGCCGGACUGAGAGGUUGAACGGCCACAUUGGGACUGAGAUACGGCCCAGACUCCUACGGGAGGCAGCAGUCGGGAAUAUUGCGCAAUGGAGGAAACUCUGACGCAGUGACGCCGCGUAUAGGAUGAAGGUUUUCGGAUUGUAAACUAUUGUCAUUAGGGAAGAUAAAAGACAGUACCUAAGGAGGAAGCUCCGGCUAACUACGUGCCAGCAGCCGCGGUAAUACGUAGGGAGCAAGCGUUAUCCGGAUUUAUUGGGUGUAAAGGGUGCGUAGACGGGAGAUUAAGUUAGUUGUGAAAGCCCUUGGCUUAACUGAGGAAUUGCAACUAAAACUGGUUUUCUUGAGUGCAGGAGAGGUAAGUGGAAUUCCUAGUGUAGCGGUGAAAUGCGUAGAUAUUAGGAGGAACACCAGUGGCGAAGGCGACUUACUGGACUGUAACUGACGUUGAGGCACGAAAGUGUGGG